AGUGAACGCUGGCGGUAGGCCUAACACGUGCAAGUCGAACGGCAGCACAGGAGAGCUUGCUCUCUGGGUGGCGAGUGGCGGACGGGUGAGGAAUACAUCGGAAUCUACUCUGUCGUGGGGGAUAACGUAGGGAAACUUACGCUAAUACCGCAUACGACCUACGGGUGAAAGCAGGGGACCUUCGGGCCUUGCGCGAUUGAAUGAGGCGAUGUCGGAUUAGCUAGUUGGCGGGGUAAAGGCCCACCAAGGCGACGAUCCGUAGCUGGUCCGAGAGGAUGAUCAGCCACACUGGAACUGAGACACGGUCCAGACUCCUACGGGAGGCAGCAGUGGGGAAUAUUGGACAAUGGGCGCAAGCCUGAUCCAGCCAUACCGCGUGGGUGAAGAAGGCCUUCGGGUUGUAAAGCCCUUUUGUUGGGAAAGAAAUCCAGCCGGCUAAUACCCGGUUGGGAUGACGGUACCCAAAGAAUAAGCACCGGCUAACUUCGUGCCAGCCGCCGCAGUAA
rnacentral:rRNA from 1 species